AAAAAAACGUCAUAAUCGACAAGAUGCUCUGCACUGGACAUAGGGUCUUGUGCACGCCGAGGGUUGUCCUCACCCCCGCGUCGUGAAAAGGUGGGUUUAAUCCCCCCAACAAGCCCACCCUUCUUUUUUUUUUCCCACCCGUUAUUGGGGGGACUUCUUGGAAACCUGCCGGGUUCACCCCGAAGAAGGGGGGGAAUAA
rnacentral:rRNA from 1 species